rnacentral:lncRNA from 1 species
GUGUAAUAACUACUGCUUGUGUCUUCUAUGUCUCACAUUAUGUGUUAUUUUAAAUUGUGGUAUAUAGCCUGAAUCAGACAUCAUGGACAAAGGUUUUUACCUGUGUUACUAAGGGCUCUUGGAGACUGACCGGUCUAAAGGUUUGCCAUGCCUUUAAAACAUGGUAUAGUAUACAUUUUUUAAGUCUCUGAGAGUUCUGAAAGAUUCAGGUGAAACCAUGUCUGUUUAAUCUGGUCCAGAUGUUUGUUCAAUUUCUAUAAGAUUUAAGUUGAUGCAGCAUCAUCUCAGAUUAGUUAAUGGUAGUUUUAUACAAAUAGUUGAGUUAUG